AGUCGACGAUGAAUCUUCUAGCUUGCUAGAAGUGGAUUAGUGGCGCACGGGUGAGUAAUGCAUAGGUUAUGUGCCCUUUAGUCUGGGAUAGCCACUGGAAACGGUGAUUAAUACUGGAUACUCCCUACGGGGGAAAGUUUUUCGCUAAAGGAUCAGCCUAUGUCCUAUCAGCUUGUUGGUGAGGUAAUGGCUCACCAAGGCUAUGACGGGUAUCCGGCCUGAGAGGGUGAUCGGACACACUGGAACUGAGACACGGUCCAGACUCCUACGGGAGGCAGCAGUAGGGAAUAUUGCUCAAUGGGGGAAACCCUGAAGCAGCAACGCCGCGUGGAGGAUGAAGGUUUUAGGAUUGUAAACUCCUUUUGUUAGAGAAGAUUAUGACGGUAUCUAACGAAUAAGCACCGGCUAACUCCGUGCCAGCAGCCGCGGUAAUACGGAGGGUGCAAGCGUUACUCGGAAUCACUGGGCGUAAAGAGUGCGUAGGCGGGGUAAUAAGUCAGAUGUGAAAUCCUGUAGCUUAACUACAGAACUGCAUUUGAAACUGUUACUCUGGAGUGUGGGAGAGGUAGGUGGAAUUCUUGGUGUAGGGGUAAAAUCCGUAGAGAUCAAGAGGAAUACUCAUUGCGAAGGCGACCUGCUGGAACAUUACUGACGCUGAUGCACGAAAGCGUGGGGAGCAAACAGGAUUAGAUACCCUGGUAGUCCACGCCCUAAACGAUGGAUGCUAGUUGUUGCCUUGCUUGUCAGGGCAGUAAUGCAGCUAACGCAUUAAGCAUCCCGCCUGGGGAGUACGGUCGCAAGAUUAAAACUCAAAGGAAUAGACGGGGACCCGCACAAGCGGUGGAGCAUGUGGUUUAAUUCGAAGAUACGCGAAGAACCUUACCUAGGCUUGACAUUG
rnacentral:rRNA from 1 species